rnacentral:lncRNA from 1 species
UUCUCAACUACUCACCCAUAUUAAGUGUCAAAAACAAACAAAUAUCAAAUCAUGUAAUUUUCUAAAUUAUCUAAUAUAUUGGCCAAAAAGUACUGUCAGCUUAAACCCAUUACUAAUGAAAUAAAGAUAUUAUGAUAGAGAGAAACAGUACACUCACUCGUGUAGGAUGAAUGAUAGAUAGUACCAAGACCCACAUGAGUCUCCCCAAAAAAAAAAGCUUGGAGGCAUUAACGAUGUGUACAAUUCUAAUAAAUCCUAAUAUACAUCCACUCAUGAGACCCACAAUGCGUAUUAUUAUUUGUACUAUGAUGAUCA